UGGGGAAUCUUGGACAAUGGGGGCAACCCUGAUCCAGCCAUGCCGCGUGCGUGAAGAAGGCCUUAGGGUUGUAAAGCGCUUUCAGCGGGGAAGAUAAUGACGGUACCCGCAGAAGAAGCCCCGGCUAACUCCGUGCCAGCAGCCGCGGUAAGACGGAGGGGGCUAGCGUUGUUCGGAAUUACUGGGCGUAAAGCGCGCGUAGGCGGACUAUUAAGUCAGGGGUGAAAGCCCGGGGCUCAACCCCGGAACUGCCUUUGAUACUGGUAGUCUAGAGUUCGGGAGAGGUGAGUGGAAUUCCAAGUGUAGAGGUGAAAUUCGUAGAUAUUUGGAGGAACACCAGUGGCGAAGGCGGCUCACUGGCUCGAUACUGACGCUGAGGUGCGAAAGUGUGGGGAGCAAACAGGAUUAGAUACCCGGGUAGUCC
rnacentral:rRNA from 1 species